rnacentral:rRNA from 1 species
UACGAAGGGGGCUAGCGUUGCUCGGAAUCACUGGGCGUAAAGGGUGCGUAGGCGGGUCUUUAAGUCGGGGGUGAAAUCCUGGAGCUCAACUCCAGAACUGCCUUCGAUACUGGAAGACUUGAGUCCGGGAGAGGUGAGUGGAACUGCGAGUGUAGAGGUGAAAUUCGUAGAUAUUCGCAAGAACACCAGUGGCGAAGGCGGCUCACUGGCCCGGUACUGACGCUGAGGUGCGAAAGCGUGGGGAGCAAACAGG